rfam:Ictidomys tridecemlineatus contig030950, whole genome shotgun sequence.
AUCCUCCGGUUCUUAAGUGUGAUGAUUGGGUGUUCACACUCUUGUGUGAGAUAUCCCUCCCUCUAAGCCUUGUUACAAUAUCAGCACAUUGCUUGACUGACG